AGUUCUCCUUCCCAGGUAACCACUGGUCUACUUCCUGUUAUUACAGAGGCAUUUGUAUUUCAUCUAAAUGGAAUCAUCCAGUCUUGCUGAUUACAAAUAAAGCUGCUGUGAAUGUUCAUGACCAGUCUUUGUACAGACUUACACUUCCAUUUCUCCUGAGUAAAUACCUGGCAGACCAUAGGUGGAUCUUGAACAUUUUAGUAAACUGCCAAAGUUAUCAUGCCCACUAGAGAAAGAGGAAGGGAGAUGGAGAGAGAAAGAGAAACAUGGAUGUGAGAGAGAAACAUUGAUCAAUUACUUCAUAUGCAUCCUGACUGGGG